rnacentral:rRNA from 1 species
UCUGGGAUUAGAUACCCUGUUAUUUAAAAUGUAAAUAUAUAUGCCUGAGUAUUAAUAGCUAUGAUCUUUAAACUUAAAAAAUUUGGCGGUAUUUUAGUCUAUUCAGAGGAACCUGUUUUAUAAUCGAUAAUCCACGAUGUACCUCACUUAAUUUUGUUAAUCAGUUUGUAUACCGUUGUUAUAGAAUAUUUUAUUAGAAAAAUAAUUUUCAAUAAUUUUUAUUAAAAGAUAUAUCAGAUCAAGGUGCAGCUUAUAAUUAAGUAAUAAUGGGUUACAAUAAAAAUAUUUAUAUGAAUAUAAUUAUGAAAAAAUUAUUGAAAGUGGAUUUGAUAGUAAAAUUAAAUAGAUUAUUAAUUUGAUUUUAGCUCUAAAAUAUGUACAAAUCGCCCGUCACUCUCUGA